rnacentral:rRNA from 1 species
UACGUAGGGCGCAAGCGUUGUCCGGAAUUAUUGGGCGUAAAGAGCUCGUAGGCGGCCUGUUGCGUCCGCUGUGAAAUCCCGGGGCUCAACCCCGGGCGUGCAGUGGAUACGGGCUGGCUGGAGGCAGGCAGGGGAGAACGGAAUUCCUGGUGUAGCGGUGAAAUGCGCAGAUAUCAGGAGGAACACCGGUGGCGAAGGCGGGUCUCUGGGCCGAUACUGACACUGAGGAGCGAAAGCGUGGGGAGCGAACAGG